GAUUUUGCUGCGUUGCGUACAUCCAGUCUGAACGUGAAAGACAUUAAUAAUCUGAUAUGAAAUAUAAAAAUACUGUUCAAAUUUGAAAUUGUGUUUAUUGGAACCGAAUUAUAUAAGUACUACCAAGAAAACAAAAUAUAUACGCAUUCCUAUAAUAAAUAUAAAUUAAUAAAUAAUGGCUGAUGAAGAUUUCGACGGAGACGAAGUCGCAGAUGAUUUCGACGAUGUAGAUGACGAGGACAACAUUGAGUUAGAGCCUCAGGAAGAUGAUGGUGAGAACAUCGAAUUGUUGAAUGCUAAUGAAGCUACUGGUGGUGUUCAAAGAUCAAAGAGAAUAACGACGAGAUAUAUGACUAAAUAUGAAAGAGCAAGAGUUCUUGGCACAAGAGCAUUGCAGAUAGCAAUGUGUGCUCCUGUGAUGGUAGAAUUAGAAGGUGAGACAGACCCAUUGCAAAUUGCUAUGAAGGAAUUAAAGCAACGAAAAAUUCCUAUAAUUAUACGCCGCUACCUGCCUGAUAAUAGUUAUGAAGAUUGGGGUAUCGACGAACUAAUUAUAAUAGAUCAUUAAUCUCGACCUUAAAGCAAAUUAUAUUGUUUCUCGACAACUAUAUUUAUUAUUGGUGUCCUUUGGACAGGUUAUUUUAGGGUUUUGUAUUUGAGCUACAUUCCAAAAGUCUUCUCCGAGGAUUUCACUCUAUAUGCUAUAGUAUACAUUACGUGUAUAUAUAUAUAUAUAUACAGAAUAGCUCAAGCUGAAUUUCAGCAU